rnacentral:rRNA from 1 species
UACGUAGGGUGCGAGCGUUGUCCGGAAUUACUGGGCGUAAAGAGCUCGUAGGUGGUUUGUCGCGUUGUCCGUGAAAACUCACAACUCAAUUGUGGGCGUGCGGGCGAUACGGGCAGACUGGAGUACUGCAGGGGAGACUGGAAUUCCUGGUGUAGCGGUGGAAUGCGCAGAUAUCAGGAGGAACACCGGUGGCGAAGGCGGGUCUCUGGGCAGUAACUGACGCUGAGGGACGAAAGCUAGGGGAGCGAACGGG